rnacentral:rRNA from 1 species
GAUGAACGCUGGCGGCGUGCCUAAUACAUGCAAGUCGAGCGAACGGACGAGAAUCUUGCUUCUCUGAUGUUAGCGGCGGACGGGUGAGUAACACGUGGAUAACCUACCUAUAAGACUGGGAUAACUACGGGAAACCGGAGCUAAUACCGGAUAAUAUUUUGAACCGCAUGGUUCAAAAGUGAAAGACGGUCUUGCUGUCACUUAUAGAUGGAUCCGCGCUGCAUUAGCUAGUUGGUAAGGUAACGGCUUACCAAGGCAACGAUGCAUAGCCGACCUGAGAGGGUGAUCGGCCACACUGGAACUGAGACACGGUCCAGACUCCUACGGGAGGCAGCAGUAGGGAAUCUUCCGCAAUGGGCGAAAGCCUGACGGAGCAACGCCGCGUGAGUGAUGAAGGUCUUCGGAUCGUAAAACUCUGUUAGUAGGGAAGAACAUAUGUGUAAGUAACUGUGCACAUCUUGACGGUACCUAAUCAGAAAGCCACGGCUAACUACGUG